UGGGGAAUAUUGGACAAUGGGCGCAAGCCUGAUCCAGCAACGCCGCGUGGAGGACGAAGGUCUUCGGAUCGUAAACUCCUGUCAGACGGGACGAAGAUAACGGGGUAAAUAAUCCCGUUGUUUGACGGUACCGUCAGAGGAAGCCCCGGCUAACUCCGUGCCAGCAGCCGCGGUAAUACGGAGGGGGCGAGCGUUAUUCGGAAUUAUUGGGCGUAAAGGGCGCGUAGGCGGCCUGACAAGUCAAAGGUGAAAUCCCUCGGCUCAACUGAGGAACUGCCUUUGAAACUGUCAGGCUUGAGGCCGGGAGGGGGUAGCGGAAUUCCCAGUGUAGCGGUGAAAUGCGUAGAUAUUGGGAGGAACACCAGUGGCGAAGGCGGCUACCUGGACCGGUUCUGACGCUGAUGCGCGAAAGCGUGGGUAGCAAACAG
rnacentral:rRNA from 1 species